CCUGCAUUAAAAACAUAGACACAGCAUUAGGGUGACUCAAGAGUUAAACUCAAAAAAAUAAGAAAAGAAAAUCUAUAAGUCACAGGUACCUUACUGGCAGCCUUGCAGUGCAGCUAUAUUAAGUUGGCGCCUAGUUUAGACCCAGACAAUGUAUUUGAGCGCUUUGUGCACCUGCCGACAAUUGUCGUGGGUGCAGCCCAAAUCUGUAGGCACAAAGAGACAAACAGAGAGCAGCAGAUAGAGGCAGAGAGAGAAAGAGAGAAAGCAAGAAAAAAUAAUGUGUGAAACAAGAGCAACAGUAGAGUGAAGAAAGUAAAGUUGGGAAUACAUUUUACGCUCAUUAAAUAGCUAGUUUGGAAAAUAUUACUUAUAUGAAUAGAUGACAAGAAGCUUUAAUGUAAUUAUUUAGGAGCUUUGAUAUUCAAAUCCACAUGGUUUUUUGCGAUUAUACAAUAUUUUUUACAGUUAUGGAAUUAAUUUCCAGUUUCUUCCUUAUGAUCCCAAAAUAAAUCCUGAGUCGGUAAAAUAUA